rnacentral:rRNA from 1 species
GAGCUCAGGACAAGCUACCCGCUGAACUUAAGCAUAUCAAUAAGCGGAGGAAAAGAAACUAACAAGGGAUGCGCUUAGUAACGGCGAGCGAACCGCGCAAAGCCCAA